rnacentral:rRNA from 1 species
GAUGAACGCUAGCGGCAGGCUUAACACAUGCAAGUCGAGGGGUAUAGUUCUUCGGAACUAGAGACCGGCGCACGGGUGCGUAACGCGUAUGCAAUCUACCUUUUGCAGAGGGAUAGCCCAGAGAAAUUUGGAUUAAUACCUCAUGGUAUGUGAGAAUGGCAUCAUUUUCACAUUAAAGUCACAACGGCAAAAGAUGAGCAUGCGUCCCAUUAGCUUGUUGGUAAGGUAACGGCUUACCAAGGCAACGAUGGGUAGGGGUCCUGAGAGGGAGAUCCCCCACACUGGUACUGAGACACGGACCAGACUCCUACGGGAGGCAGCAGUGAGGAAUAUUGGACAAUGGGCGCAAGCCUGAUCCAGCCAUGCCGCGUGCAGGAUGACGGUCCUAUGGAUUGUAAACUGCUUUUGUACAGGAAGAAACACUGGUUCGUGAACCAGCUUGACGGUACUGUAAGAAUAAGGAUCGGCUAACUCCGUGCCAGCCGCCGCCGUAACAC